UGGCGAAUAUUGCACAAUGGGCGCAAGCCUGAUGCAGCCAUGCCGCGUGUAUGAAGAAGGCCUUCGGGUUGUAAAGUACUUUCAGUCGGGAGGAAGGUGUCAAGGUUAAUAACCUUGGCAAUUGACGUUACCGACAGAAGAAGCACCGGCUAACUCCGUGCCAGCAGCCGCGGUAAUACGGAGGGUGCAAGCGUUAAUCGGAAUUACUGGGCGUAAAGCGCACGCAGGCGGUUGAUUGAGUCAGAUGUGAAAUCCCCGGGCUUAACCCGGGAAUUGCAUCUGAUACUGGUCAGCUAGAGUCUUGUAGAGGGGGGUAGAAUUCCAUGUGUAGCGGUGAAAUGCGUAGAGAUGUGGAGGAAUACCGGUGGCGAAGGCGGCCCCCUGGACAAAGACUGACGCUCAGGUGCGAAAGCGUGGGGAGCAAACAGG
rnacentral:rRNA from 1 species